rnacentral:rRNA from 1 species
UACGGAGGGGGCAAGCGUUGUUCGGAAUCAUUGGGCGUAAAGGGCGUGUAGGUGGUUCUGUAUGUCUACCGUGAAAGCGUACGGCUCAACCGUAUUUAGUCGGUAGAAACUGCAGGACUUGAGGCUGGGAGGGGCUGGUGGAAUUCCCCGUGUAGCGGUGAAAUGCGUAGAGAUGGGGGAGAACACUCGUGGCGAAGGCGGCCAGCUAGACCAGUUCUGACACUGAGGCGCGAAAGCGUGGGGAGCAAACAGG